GACGAACGCUGGCGGCGUGCUUAACACAUGCAAGUCGAACGGAAAGGCCCUGCUUUUGUGGGGUGCUCGAGUGGCGAACGGGUGAGUAACACGUGAGUAACCUGCCCUUGACUUUGGGAUAACUUCAGGAAACUGGGGCUAAUACCGGAUAGGAGCUCCUGCUGCAUGGUGGGGGUUGGAACGUUUCGGCGGUUGGGGAUGGACUCGCGGCUUAUCAGCUUGUUGGUGGGGUAGUGGCUUACCAAGGCUUUGACGGGUAGCCGGCCUGGGAGGGUGACCGGCCACAUUGGGACUGAGGUACGGCGCAGACUCCUACGGGAGGCAGCAGUGGGGAAUAUUGCACAAUGGGCGGAAGCCUGAUGCAGCAGCGCCGCGUGCGGGAUGACGGCCUUCGGGUUGUAAACCGCUUUCGCCUGUGACGAAGCGUGAGUGACGGUAAUGGGUAAAGAAGCACCGGCUAACUACGUG
rnacentral:rRNA from 1 species